rnacentral:tRNA from 1 species
GAAUAUAUAGCUUAUAAAUUUAGAGCAUAGCAGUGAAGUUGCUAAGGAAUUAGUUAUAAUUUUAUUCA